rnacentral:misc_RNA from 1 species
GAUGAAGAACGUAGCGAAAUGCGAUACGUAAUGUGAAUUGCAGAAUUCAGUGAAUCAUCGAGUCUUUGAACGCACAUUGCGCCCUCUGGUAUUCCGGAGGGCAUGCCUGUCCGAGCGUCAUUGCUGCCCUCAAGCACGGCUUGUGUGUUGGGCCCCGCCCCCCGAUCCCGGGGGGCGGGCCCGAAAGGCAGCGGCGGCACCGCGUCCGGUCCUCGAGCGUAUGGGGCUUUGUCACCCGCUCUGUAGGCCCGGCCGGCGCUUGCCGAUCAACCAAACUUUUUUCCAGGUUGACCUCGGAUCAGGUAGGGAUACCCGCUGAACUUAAGCGUAUCAAUAAGCGGAGGA